rnacentral:tRNA from 1 species
ACCUGGCUGGCUCGGUUGGUAGAGCAUGGGACUUCUGAUCUCGGGGCCGUGAGUUCAAGCCCUACGUUGGGCG